rnacentral:rRNA from 1 species
GCCAUUCAUGGCCGCCGGGGGCUCUCAGCCCCGGGCCCGCGCCCGCCGGAGACACCACGAACUCUGUCUGAUCUAGUGAAGUCUGAGUUGAUUGUAUCGCAAUCAGUUAAAACUUUCAACAAUGGAUCUCUUGGUUCCGGCAUCGAUGAAGAACGCAGCGAAAUGCGAUAACUAGUGUGAAUUGCAGAAUUCCGUGAAUCAUCGAGUCUUUGAACGCACAUUGCGCCCCCUGGUAUUCCGGGGGGCAUGCCUGUCCGAGCGUCAUUGCUGCGCAUCAAGCACGGCUUGUGUGUUGGGUCGUCGUCCCCUCUCCGGGGGGGACGGGCCCCAAAGGCAGCGGCGGCACCGCGUCCGAUCCUCGAGCGUAUGGGGCUUUGUCACCGGCUCUGUAGGCCCGGCCGGCGCUUGCCGAACGCAAAUCAAUCUUUUCCAGGUUGACCUCGGAUCAGGUAGGGAUACCCGCUGAACUUAAGCAUAUCAAUAAGCGGAGGAAAAGAAACCAACCGGGAUUGCCUCAGUAACGGCGAGUGAAGCGGCAAGAGCUCAAAUUUGAAAGCUGGCUCCUAUGGGGUCCGCAUUGUAAUUUGCAGAGGAUGCUUCGGGUGCGGCCCCUGUCUAAGUGCCCUGGAACGGGGCGUCAGAGAGGGUGAGAAUCCCGUCUGGGAUGGGGUGUCCGCGCCCGUGUGAAGCUCCUUCGACGAGUCGAGUUGUUUGGGAAUGCAGCUCUAAAUGGGUGGUAAAUUUCAUCUAAAGCUAAAUACUGGCCGGAGACCGAUAGCGCACAAGUAGAGUGAUCGAAAGAUGAAAAGCACUUUGAAAAGAGAGUUAAAAAGCACGUGAAAUUGUUGAA